GGGCGGGUAGCUCAGUUGGGAGAGCGUCGGCCCUACAAGCCGAAGGUCACAGGUUCAAGCCCUGUUCCGCCUACCA
rnacentral:tRNA from 1 species